rnacentral:rRNA from 1 species
AUUGAACGCUGGCGGCAUGCUUUACACAUGCAAGUCGAACGGCAGCACAAACUUCGGUUUGGUGGCGAGUGGCGAACGGGUGAGUAAUGCAUCGGAACGUGUCCUGAAGUGGGGGAUAACGCAUCGAAAGAUGCGCUAAUACCGCAUAAUCUCUGAGGAGAAAAGUGGGGGAUCGAAAGACCUCAUGCUUUUGGAGCGGCCGAUGUCUGAUUAGCUAGUUGGUAGGGUAAUGGCCUACCAAGGCGACGAUCAGUAGUUGGUCUGAGAGGAUGGCCAGCCACACUGGGACUGAGACACGGCCCAGACUCCUACGGGAGGCAGCAGUGGGGAAUUUUGGACAAUGGGCGCAAGCCUGAUCCAGCCAUUCCGCGUGCAGGAUGAAGGCCUGGUUGUAACUAGCUUUGUACGGAACGAACGGUUACGUCUCUAAUACA